GACGUAGGGCGCGAGCGUUGUCCGGAUUUAUUGGGCGUAAAGAGCUCGUAGGCGGUUUGUCACGUCGGAUGUGAAACCCUGAGGCUCAACCUCAGGCCUGCAUUCGAUACGGGCAGACUAGAAUUCGGCAGGGGAGACUGGAAUUCCUGGUGUAGCGGUGAAAUGCGCAGAUAUCAGGAGGGAACACCGGUGGCCGAAGG
rnacentral:rRNA from 1 species